GCCAGUCCGACCAAAAAAGUGAAAAAGGACGAAGCCCCAGAGGCCGAGCAGCAGCAAGUGGAGGCAGCAUCAGCUUAACACAUCUUCAUUACAUUUCAUCUCAUCUGAACUGUGCAAAAUCAUGUUUUUAUAUGUUGUCCUAGUGUUUUGAGAUCAUACCCAUGUUACUUAUUUAAUGAUCAAGUGGAUGGACGGAAAUUGUUUCAAACUUUUUUUAUGUUGGUGUUAAUAUACAGUAAAUAUAGUCUAGUUAUGCU
rnacentral:misc_RNA from 1 species